CGGUGAAUCUGGGAAACAUUUCUGGAGUCAACAACAGAAAAAUCCAUAACAAAUAACAAGUAUCUAAUUACUCAUAGUCAUAUCAAGUAAAACUGAGAAAAGAAGAAUGUCGUACCUACCAAAAUAAACGCUGAAAGUGCACACGCAUUCCGAGAAAGAUGACGAGCCUACAGUACGACGUCCUGUGGGAGGAUCGCGAUGUCAGAUUCGACAUCGCGCCCGUCCAGAUGAACAUGCGCGCGGGAGAGGUUCUCAUAGACCGACUCGACUCGGUCGAGGACACCAAGGGGAACAACGGCGACCGUGGCCGGCUGCUCAUCACGAACCUGCGCAUGAUCUGGCACUCACAGGCGCUGCCGCGCGUCAACCUCUCCGUCGGCUACAACUGCAUCAUCAACAUCGCGACGAAGACUGCGACAUCGAAGCUGAGGGGCAACACGGAGGCACUCUACAUCCUCACCAAGUGCAACGACACACGCUUCGAGUUCAUCUUCACGAACCUCGUGCCCGGGACGCCGCGCCUCUUCACGUCUGUCAUCUCCGUGCACCGCGCCUACGACACGUCGAAGAUGUACCGCGACCUGCGGCUGCGCGGCGCCGUCGUCGUCGGCAACGAGCUGCGGAUGCUGCCGCGCGAACACGUCGUCGAGCGCGUGAACGGCGUAUGGAACCUGAGCAGCGACCAGGGCAACCUCGGCGCGUUCUUCGUCACCAACGUGCGCCUCGUCUGGUACGCGAGCAUGAACGAGGCGUUCAACGUCAGCGUGCCCUACCUGCAGAUGCGCUCGGUGCGCGCGCGCGACUCGAAAUUCGGCGCCGCGCUCGUCCUCGAGACGUCCCUCCAGAGCGGCGGCUACGUGCUCGGGUUUAAAAUCGACCCGGCCGAGCGGCUGCAGGCGUGCCUCAAGCAGAUCCAGAGCCUCCACCGCGUGUACGCGGCGAGUCCGAUCUUUGGUGUCGACUUCGAGACGGACGGGCGCGGCACGGCGGCGGAGAUGCGCGAGCCAAUCCUCGACGAGCCGCACGACGACGUCGAGGUCGUCGGGGGCGACGAGCGCGGCGACGCGUUCGCGGCGUACUUUGCGGACGGCGCGAAGCAGCGAGACGGCGAGCCGGUCUACUCGGAGGAGCUCGGCCUCGCCGUCGAGAAGCUGAAGGACGGCUUCACGCUGUCCGAGCUGUGGGAGGUCAUCUGAAGGUCAUCUGAUGUGUAGCUGUGGGGGGUCAUCUGAUGUGGAGCUGUGUUGGGUCAUCUGAAGGUCAUAUUAUGUGUCAGAGAGCUGUGGCUCUACCGUAUAACGUUCAUGUUAAUGUUAGAGCUGUGGGAAGUCAUCUGCGGCUACUCUACUGUAUAACGGUUGUGUUGAAGCUAUGAGCAGUAAUAUGUGGUGAGCUGAUGGGGUCAUUUGCCCUUGGGUCGUUGGUAGUGCGGCUGUGGGAAGUCAUCUUAGUGUUGCGGUGGAGCGUUGGAGCGAUGGAUCUCAGUCUUAGUCAUGGACGGCUUGGGGGGGGGGUUCUUGGAUUAUAUUUAGACGGGGGUGCGAGACUGAAGCCUUGAAACCUUUACCCAUAUCUAAGGGUCCUUGUCCUGUGAAUAGGUACUCAUGUCUAAGGAUUUUUUGUGAACGUCUGUCUAAGGAUUUGGAACAUCAUAUUUUCCUACAGUACCAAAUAUAAUACAACCAUUUUGCACUCUUUCGAGGGAAACUUUAUAAGACGUCUAUUUUUUGUGUGAAAAUGGGACCCAUGUCUAACAUCUAAGGAUUUUUUUCGUGAAAAUAGGACCCAUGUCUAAGGACUUUCUUGAAAAAGUCACCCAUCCCAGCGGCACAUCCUGUAUAUCCUUAUACGUGAGUGCCCCCCCCCCCACGAGGGAUGGCUGGUCCACGGGUCGUAGGUAGUUGUUGUGGGACGUCAUCUCAGUGUCGUGGUGCAGAGUUGGAGUGUUGGAUCUCAGUGUUGGUUGGGGACAGUUGGCCCCCCGAGUCGUAGGUUGUGGAGCCGUGGAACGUCAUCUGUGUUGGAGCCGUGGCUCUACUGGUCGUGAAUGAUUGCACGUAGUUUAGCCGUGAUUUUCGUGACCAUUUUAGCAGCGAAUCCUGAUUAACCGGCCGCUUGCUGUGGCUUUGCAGCCGAUGAUGGUUACUGUGCGUCAUGCUGUCAUCUGUUUCAUCUUCUCUAGUCUACAUUUACGGCUUCACAUGCUUAUUCCACCAUCUAACCUUUACGCACAUAGCUUACGCUCAUAGGGUCUACGUCCCCCAGGGUACUGCCGGAACGUACCCUGGGUACGGUUCGGUAUACCGGAAC
rnacentral:misc_RNA from 1 species